rnacentral:rRNA from 1 species
GAUGAACGCUGGCGGCAUGCCUAAUACAUGCAAGUCAAACGAGAGGAAGGAAAGCUUGCUUUCCUGAAUCUAGUGGCGAACGGGUGAGUAACACGUAGGUAACCUGCCCAUGUGCCCGGGAUAACUUCUGGAAACGGAUGCUAAAACCGGAUAGGUAGCAGACAAGCAUUUGACUGCUAUUAAAGUGGCCUUGGCCAUGAACAUGGAUGGACCUGCGGUGCAUUAGCUAGUUGGUGAGGUAACGGCCCACCAAGGCGACGAUGCAUAGCCGGCCGGAGAGGGCGGACGGCCACAUUGGGACUGAGACACGGCCCAAACUCCUACGGGGGGCAGCAGUAGGGAAUUUUCGUCAAUGGGGGGAACCCUGAACGAGCAAUGCCGCGUGAGUGAGGAAGGUCUUCGGAUCGUAAAGCUCUGUUGUAAGAGAAAAACGGCACUCAUAGGGAAUGAUGAGUGAGUGAUGGUAUCUUACCAGAAAGUCACGGCUAACUACGUGCCAGCAGCCGCGGUAACAC